CCUACGGGAGGCAGCAGUGGGGAAUAUUGGACAAUGGGGGGAACCCUGAUCCAGCCAUGCCGCGUGUGUGAAGAAGGCCCUCGGGUUGUAAAGCACUUUCAGUGAGGAAGAACGCCUGGUGGUUAAUACCCAUCAGGAAAGACAUCACUCACAGAAGAAGCACCGGCUAACUCCGUGCCAGCAGCCGCGGUAAUACGGAGGGUGCGAGCGUUAAUCGGAAUUACUGGGCGUAAAGCGCGCGUAGGUGGCUUGAUAAGCCGGUUGUGAAAGCCCCGGGCUCAACCUGGGAACGGCAUCCGGAACUGUCCAGCUAGAGUGCAGGAGAGGAAGGUAGAAUUCCCGGUGUAGCGGUGAAAUGCGUAGAGAUCGGGAGGAAUACCAGUGGCGAAGGCGGCCUUCUGGACUGACACUGACACUGAGGUGCGAAAGCGUGGGUAGCAAACAGGAUUAGAUACCCUUGUAGUC
rnacentral:rRNA from 1 species